UAUUGGCUUUUGUAAACAAAGUUAAGAUUGGCUUUUGUUUUCUUCUUUUUUUUUGACUUAGGCAUAAAAUUUUUGUAACGCCGCUCCUGGACCCCUCAUCCGGUGCGAAACGGAGGCAUGGACGACAGGGAGACCUCCAAGCAUCAGCAACGCAAGCGCGGCAUCGCCUCGUCCCUCUUUUCCUGGCCGAGUCCAAUCGAUGCAACUCUAAGAAGAACGGACGCAUAUGCUUCUUUCUGUGGAUGAAUAUGAAACUCCUGGCUGAUUUUAAUAUUAUUUUAUUUUCAGGUUUAUGUUUUGUUUGUAUUUUAUUUGCAGGUUUUGAUUGGUUUGUUUGGAAGCUAUCGUAGUAAGUGAAUUAAUUUGUGUUUUGGCUGAUUAUAAAAUGUAUUCUAUUUGCAGGUUCAAUUGGUUUAUUUGGAGUUUUGCGUUGUAUUUGGUAAGCGAGUCUAUUUCUGUUUUGGCUGAUUUUGAUUGUAUUUUAUUUGCAGGUUUUGAUUGGUUUGUUUGAUGGCUAUCGUAGUAAGUGAAUUGAUUUGUGUUUUGGCUGAUUAUUAAAUGUAUUCUAUUUGCAGGUUCAAUUGAUUUAUUUGGAGGUUUGCGUUGUAUUUGGUAAGCGAGUCUAUUUAUGUUUUGGCUGAUUUUGAUUGUAUUUUAUUUGCAGAUAUUGAUUGGUUCGUUUGGAAGCUAGCGUGGUUCAAUUGGUUUAUUUGGAGGUGUGCGUUGAAUUUGAUUGUGAUUGGUUUGUUUGGAAGCUAGCGUGGUAAGUAAAUUAAUUUGUGUUUUGACUGAUUUUAAUUGUAUUUUAUUUGCAGGUUCAAUUGGUUUAUUUGGAGGUGUGCGUUGAAUUUGGUAAGCGAGUUUAUUUCUGUUUUGGCUGAUUUUGAUUGUAUUAUAUUUGCAGGUUUUGAUUGGUUUGCUUGAAGGUGAUUUGGUAAGCGGUUUAAUUUAUGUUUUG